AACCUAAACUUGGCAACAGGCAUGGUUUUAAGUCCUUGUAAGCAACAAGCUCGUCCUAGAGUCUUACAAGGCCGUGGUCCGAAAGGAUCAUGGGAGCCGAAAGGUUCC
rnacentral:sRNA from 12 species